UCCCGCAACGAGCGCAACCCUUAUCCUUUGUUGCCAGCGGUCCGGCCGGGAACUCAAAGGAGACUGCCAGUGAUAAACUGGAGGAAGGUGGGGAUGACGUCAAGUCAUCAUGGCCCUUACGACCAGGGCUACACACGUGCUACAAUGGCGCAUACAAAGAGAAGCGACCUCGCGAGAGCAAGCGGACCUCAUAAAGUGCGUCGUAGUCCGGAUUGGAGUCUGCAACUCGACUCCAUGAAGUCGGAAUCGCUAGUAAUCGUGGAUCAGAAUGCCACGGUGAAUACGUUCCCGGGCCUUGUACACACCGCCCGUCACACCAUGGGAGUGGGUUGCAAAAGAAGUAGGUAGCUUAACCUUCGGGAGGGCGCUUACCACUUUGUGAUUCAUGACUGGGGUGAAGUCGUAACAAGGUAACCGUAGGGGAACCUGC
rnacentral:rRNA from 1 species